UUUGAGUCCUGCGUCAGAUGACGCUGGCGCGUGCUAACACAUGCAAGUCGAACGAAGCACCUGAGAAUGAUUCUUCGGAUGAAGUCUCUUGUGACUGAGUGGCGGACGGGUGAGUAACGCGUGGGUAACCUGCUCACACAGGGGGAGUAACAGUUGGAAACGACCGCUAAUACCGCAUAACCCGCUGGUGCCGCAUGGCACUGACGGAAAAGAUUUUAUCGGUGUGAGAUGGACCCGCGUCUGAUUAGCCAGUUGGCAGGGUAACGGCCUACCAAAGCGACGAUCAGUAGCCGGCCUGAGAGGGUGAACGGCCACAUUGGGACUGAGACACGGCCCAGACUCCUGCGGGAGGCAGCAGUGGGGAAUAUUGCACAAUGGGGGAAACCCUGAUGCAGCGACGCCGCGUGAGUGAAGAAGUAUUUCGGUAUGUAAAGCUCUAUCAGCAGGGAAAAAAAUGACGGUACCUGACUAAGAAGCCCCGGCUAACUACGUG
rnacentral:rRNA from 1 species